CCUACGGGAGGCAGCAGUGGGGAAUAUUGCGCAAUGGGGGAAACCCUGACGCAGCAACGCCGCGUGAGUGAGGAAGGACUUCGGUCUGUAAAGCUCUGUUAAUGAGGAAAAAUGGUAGUUGGUCUAAUAGGCCGAUUAUUUGAUGGUACUCAUAGAGGAAGCACCGGCUAACUUCGUGCCAGCAGCCGCGGUAAUACGAAGGGUGCAAGCGUUGUUCGGAUUUAUUGGGCGUAAAGCGCGCGUAGGCGGACCUGCAAGUCAGAUGUGAAAUCUCGAGGCUCAACCUCGAAACUGCGUCUGAAACUACAGGUCUAGAAUCUCGGAGGGGGAAGGGGAAUUUCGCAUGUAGGGGUAAAAUCCGUAGAUAUGCGAAGGAACACCAGAGGCGAAGGCGCCUUCCUGGACGAGUAUUGACGCUGAGGCGCGAAAGCGUGGGGAUCAAACAGGAUUAGAUACCCUGGUAGUCCACGCUGUAAACGAUGAACACUAGGUAUUGGAGGAUUUGACCCCUUCAGUGCCGUAGCUAACGCGUUAAGUGUUCCGCCUGGGAAGUACGGUCGCAAGACUAAAACUCAAAGGAAUUGACGGCUGAGACGNGCGACGACGACGACGAGGGAGGAGG
rnacentral:rRNA from 1 species